rnacentral:rRNA from 1 species
GACGAACGCUGGCGGCGUGCUUAACACAUGCAAGUCGAACGGAAAGGCCCUGCUUUUGUGGGGUGCUCAAGUGGCGAACGGGUGAGUAACACGUGAGUAACCUGCCCUUGACUUUGGGAUAACUUCAGGAAACUGGGGCUAAUACCGGAUAGGAGCUCCUGCUGCAUGGUGGGGGUUGGAAAGUUUCGGCGGUUGGGGAUGGACUCGCGGCUUAUCAGCCUGUUGGUGGGGUAGUGGCUUACCAAGGCUUUGACGGGUAGCCGGCCUGAGAGGGUGACCGGCCACAUUGGGACUGAGAUACGGCCCAGACUCCUACGGGAGGCAGCAGUGGGGAAUAUUGCACAAUGGGCGGAAGCCUGAUGCAGCAACGCCGCGUGCGGGAUGACGGCCUUCGGGUUGUAAACCGCUUUCGCCUGUGACGAAGCGUGAGUGACGGUAAUGGGUAAAGAAGCACCGGCUAACUACGUG